AGAUAAUAACCUGAAGUGAUUUCAGUUUACCAUCUUUAAAUGGGACUUGGAUUAUGAAGAGAUGUCUGCAAACAUCAUCCAGAAAAGAAGUAUGAAAUGGAAUGUUCAAUAUUGCCCUACUUUGGAAGAGAGUUUGACAUGAAAACGAAUUUCCUUCAUAUUAAAAUGAAAAUUAUUCAUUAAAUUUCAAAAGAACGAAGGUUAAUGAAGAUCACAAAGUGAGACAGAAGUUGAAGAUGAAGAAAGUAGUGUCAACAUAAAUAGUAGAGAUAUGCAGAGUCUGGAGUAAUCUUUCAUCCGUCCAUACAAGGAUUGCUGCUCAUCCCCAGCAAGUGGUGACCGCAAUGAGAUCACCUUGCAACGGACACCAUAUGGACACCGCCACCCCCCCCCCCCAAAAUCCAUAAAGUCUGCGCACAUCUGCAAAACUGGAAUAAAUGCCCUAUUCACCGCCAGAGAUGAGAAGCGUAUCUGCACAGCACAACUGUCUCAAGAACUACUUCUUCCUGCUUUAAAGAAACAAAAGGGGGAACAAAGAGCAGUUCUGCAUGUGUGUGUUUUAUGUAUUGGAGCUCCAUGAUAAGACAACUGCUGCUUACAUCAGUAAAGGUGACUUGCCCAAUUGUAGUAGGGAAUGAUGCAACAGCUGAGUGGAAGGACCCCAGGCUUCUAGACAGCUUCAUGGAGCAGUGCCACCCUGACUCCCUCACUACCUUGAGCUUUCAUGUGAGAUAGAAAAAAACGUUUUAAUUGUGAAAAUGUC